rnacentral:tRNA from 1 species
UCCCUGGUGGUCCGGUGGUUAGGACUAUGCAAUUCCACUGCAGGGAAGAUGGGUUCAAUCCCUGGUCAGGGAA